UUCGGCCACAUCACAUUGAAACACCAGUUCCCGUACGAUCAGCAAUGUUAGACAACGUUGAGACUGGCGAAUACCUAGAUGGGUGACCGCUUGGGAAUACCAGAUGUUGCAAG